CAGCCGCCGCGGGAAUACGAAGGGGGCUAGCGUUGUUCAGAUUUACUGGGCGUAAAGCGCACGUAGGCGGAUCGAUCAGUCAGGGGUGAAAUCCUGGAGUUCAACUCCAGAACUGCCUUUGAUACUGUCGAUCUCGAGUCCGGAAGAGGUGAGUGGAACUCCUAGUGUAGAGGUGGAAUUCGUAGAUAUCAGGAAGAACACCAGUGGCGAAGGCGGCUCACUGGUCCGGUACUGACGCUGAGGUGCGAAAGCGUGGGGAGCAAACAGGAUUAGAUACCCGUGUAGUCCCUGUCUCUUAUAC
rnacentral:rRNA from 1 species